rnacentral:lncRNA from 1 species
UUUUUAAAGCCUUUAGAGGAGCCUGUCAUGUGUCUAUUCGCACCAGAAUUAAUAACCCAAAAAUUAAGGUGAGCAUUAAAGGCAAUACAUGACUGCACGUAAUUGGAAGUGGCAACAUUAGAAGAGUCAAGUUUAUUUAGGAGACAGCGAAGAUGUUGAACUUCAUCCGAAGACAUUCUCCAGAAGUAGUUUCCCUGGAUGUCUCCACAUUUUCUGCAAUAUUAGCCUCAACCCCCAAUGGACCUACAUGUUAUCCUCCACCGCCUCUAGUUGGUCUACCAUGUAGUUUCCAGCAUGUCUCCUUCGUAUGCCUUGGCUUUCCACAGUAAUCAAAGUGUAGGUGAUCUUUAUCAGAAGUGAACGCCUUUGGUUGUUCAUGAGACACAUCUAACCCGGACUUCUCCAUUGGUGUUGAAUAAAGCAUGACCCAUCGUCGGCUCUCUAGUGUUGAACAUAAGAGUAUGCAUCGUGAAGAGAAGGAAAAGGAACUUUAUCGAGAACUUGAACCCUGAUCUAAUCAUAUUCUUCAUUUAAACCGGCUAAAAAAUCAUAGACCCUUUCCGUUUCAACAAAUCGUUCAAAGAUAACUGCAUCAUCAGUACACUUUCCUUGGAGAUCCUCA